GCUUAGUGUUUGUGGCUAAUAUAAUAAAUAACCCAAUAAGCAUGACCUGCAGUGCACUUUCCGCUGUAUAGGUCUCACUGGCUGUUUUGGGGCUGUAGUAACAGGUGGCAAAAAGAGUGUUUUUUAUUAUUUUGUUUUGUUUCUUUUUAAUUCUCCUUCAAACAAUAACAACAUCAUUGCAAGUGUCCUCUGUGGGUCAUAGCACAUCACUGGACUUUGCUGUUUUCACCUUCGUCCAUCACACACCAGUUUCUGCUGCCUCUGAUUCAGGGUUGCUCUUAAUUCAUUUUCCCUGCCGGUGUGAGCAGCAGUGUGUGUGGCAAUCGUGUAAGAACAUUGGAAAAGGACACAAGGCUGUUCUGGGUGCGUCUGUGCUGUUAUGUGUUGUGUUAUUUUAUUACGUAGUUAGUUGUGUAUUUAAAAUAUUUAUCAUUCUUCAUUUGCUUUUAUAUGUCUGCUAUGUCAUUUCUCUCUGUAUCUUUAUCUAUUUUCUUUUUCAAUUUAUGUCCCUUGCUCUUGCGUAUCAUUCUAUUCAUCAUACUGCCCCUUCAUCUCUAUCUCCAAUCCCUCGUGUCUUCUUAUAUUCCCUCUCGUCCUCUCCGCUCAUCCUCUACUGGCCGGCUUGUUAUGCCUUCUCUUCGCUCUCCUUCCUCCCGUGCUUGCUCCUUCUAUUCACUCUCCUUCCUCCUGUGCUCGCUCCUUCUCUUCACUCUCCUUCCUCCUGUGCUGCUCCUUCUCUUCACUCUCCUUCCCGUGCUCGCUCCUUCUCUUCACUCUCCUUCCUCCUGUGCUCGCUCCUUCUCUUCACGCUCCUUCCUCCUGUGCUGCUCCUUCUAUUCACUCUCCUUCCUCCUGUGCUCGCUCCUUCUCUUCACUCUCCUUCCUCCUGUGCUAGCUCCUUCUCUUCACUCUCCUUCCUCCUGUGCUGCUCCUUCUCUUCACUCUCCUUCCCGUGCUCGCUCCUUCUCUUCACUCUCCUUCCUCCUGUGCUCGCUCCUUCUCUUCACUCUCCUUCCUCCCGUGCUGCUCCUUCUAUUCACUCUCCUUCCUCCUGUGCUCGCUCCUUCUCUUCACUCUCCUUCCUCCUGUGCUGCUCCUUCUCUUCACUCUCCUUCCCGUGCUCGCUCCUUCUCUUCACUCUCCUUCCUCCCGUGCUGCUCCUUCUCUUCACUCUCCUUCCUCCUGUGCUGCUCCUUCUCUUCACUCUCCUUCCCGUGCUCGCUCCUUCUCUUCACUCUCCUUCUUCCCGUGCUCGCUCCUUCUAUUCACUCUCCUUCCUCCCAUGCUGCUCCUUCUCUUCACUCUCCAUCCUCCCGUGCUCACUCCUUCUCUUCACUCUCCAUCCUCCCAUGCUGCUCCUUCUCUUCACUCUCCUUCAUCCCAUACUCGCUCCUUCUCUUCACUCUCCUUCAUCCCAUACUCGCUCCUUCUCUUCACUCUCCUUCCUCCCGUGCUCGCUCUUUCUAUUCACUCUCCUUCCUCCUGUGCUCGCUCCUUCUCUUCACUCUCCUUCCUCCUGUGCUCGCUCCUUCUCUUCACUCUCCUUCCUCCCAUGCUGCUCCUUCUCUUCACUCUUCUUCCUCCUGUGCUCACUCCUUCUCUUCACUCUCCUUCCUCCUGUGCUCGCUCCUUCUCUUCACUCUCCUUCCUCCUGUGCUCGCUCCUUCUCUUCACUCUCCUUCCUCCUGUGCUCACUCCUUCUCUUCACUCUCCUUCCUCCCGUGCUGCUCCUUCUCUUCACUCUUCUUCCUCCUGUGCUCACUCCUUCUCUUCACUCUCCUUCCUCCCGUGCUGCUCCUUCUCUUCACUCUCCUUCCUCCCGUGCUCGCUCCUUCUCUUCACUCUCAAUUUUGAUAGAAACACAUGUUAUAGCAAACAUGGAUGUUUGCUUUAAAACUAUAUAUAUAUGGAAGGGUGGUGGGUAAUUCACUGACAGAAGGGAGACACAAGUGAACUUGAAACAACAGGUGUCCAGUUUUAUUAAUGGUGGGGCAGUUCCACUUUUUGGCCCGCAGAGGGCGCUGUUGUCUGUGGUCUGCCUAUCAGCGAUGAUAUGCAGAGCCACAGAGAUACCAGAGGCGGAACCGUUUAUCAAUGCAGGCGCACUCACAGGUGCUCAAACAAAAGAAUAAGCAAAAGGAGAAAAGAACAAGGAAAAUAAAACACAGUAAUCAAAAACUACAAAUAAAAGGUGCUGCACUCGGCAGCUUCACCCCGACCGUCACUACCCGCACGGUCCGGGUCUCCGUCCUACUCUCGCCGCUCCCUCAGCCUGCUAAAAAUGCUGAUGGGGUCUGCCCACGGUUAUCCCCGCUAACACUAUUUUCUUUCUUUUGUUCUCUUUUCUUUUGGGGUUUUCCUCCCCGGCCGUGUCUCGGUUCUGGACCAGAGCCUCCGCACGUCUUUUCAGAAGGGCAGACCUGAGGGAACAGCAGAAUGUUAUUUUUAUAGGGCCAGCAAUCCCCCUCUCAGCCAUUCAGAGAGAAGGAAAGCCCACACGCCUCUCCUACCUCUCCGUGUCACUGCCAUGACUGACAGGCGAAUAUUCAAUGGCUGCUGCCCUCUUCCUGCAGCACUUUGAAUACAUCAGAAGAAUCAGUACAGGUCUCCCCCUGUUACAAGGACAUAUCGUGCUAACUUACCAGUCAAUGUUGAAGAUGUGUACUCCACUGUGGGAGGAUUCAUUCACUUCCCCUGUGCAAAGACUGCUCAGCCAGAGGCAGGGCAGCAAU